rnacentral:rRNA from 3 species
UGUUUGAUGUUCUAACGUGGACCCGUGAUCCGGGUUGCGGACAGUGUCUGGUGGGUAGUUUGACUGGGGCGGUCUCCUCCUAAAGAGUAACGGAGGAGCACGAAGGUUGGCUAAUCCUGGUCGGACAUCAGGAGGUUAGUGCAAUGGCAUAAGCCAGCUUGACUGCGAGCGUGACGGCGCGAGCAGGUGCGAAAGCAGGUCAUAGUGAUCCGGUGGUUCUGAAUGGAAGGGCCAUCGCUCAACGGAUAAAAGGUACUCCGGGGAUAACAGGCUGAUACCGCCCAAGAGUUCAUAUCGACGGCGGUGUUUGGCACCUCGAUGUCGGCUCAUCACAUCCUGGGGCUGAAGUAGGUCCCAAGGGUAUGGCUGUUCGCCAUUUAAAGUGGUACGCGAGCUGGGUUUAGAACGUCGUGAGACAGUUC